rnacentral:lncRNA from 1 species
AAGGCUUGGAAGCUCACCUCCUAUUCUUAAUUCUUGAAGAGACUUCAGAUUGUGCAAUCCCUUGGGUAAGGCCUCUAGUCUCUUACAAUCAUAUAUCUCCAACCUCGUGAGUUUCGCACAAGGCAAUCCCCCUUCGGGAAAGGUCACCAGAUUUCCACACCACCAAAUUUUAAUCUCUAGAAGCUGGCGGAGAUUAUGUAAACCACUCGGUAAAAUCUUCAGUUUUUCACAAAAAUCAAUUCUGAUUAUUUUAAGAGAUGUGUUGUCGUCCAACCUUUCAGCUAUUGACUCCAGCUUUGAACAUCCAUAAACACAAAGGGACUUAAGAGACGGAGGUAGAUUGCCAACUUCAAGGGACUCAAGCGUGGCAGGUAACUCGUUUUUUGAAAAUAUACAUGUCAGUGAUGGACAAUAGCGAAUGCCUAAGUGCUCAAGAAGAGAUGAGUUGUACCUUCUGCUGCUGCUGCUGCUACUGUGGAUGCCCUCUUCCACUGUCAAAGUCCUUAUAUUACCGCACUCAUCGAUGAACAACGUCUUAAGGCUCGGUGGUAGCUGGACUCCAGCAAUAUAUCUCAACGAAUGGCAACUCUCAAUAUACAAGAUCUCGAGAGAUGAAUUUGUGUCGCACAUCCAUGCCUCUGGUAACGAUUUCAGUGCAUCACAUUCACUAAUCUCAAUUUUCUUCAACUUGGAAGGCAGAGCAACCUCAGGAAAGGAAACAAGGGAAUUGCAGCCGCCAAUGAAUAUCUCUCUCAAGGAACUCAGGCUGAGCAGUGAUUGUGGCAGCUUCACAAGGCCUUCGCAUAUGUACAGUCUUAGAUAUUCAAGCCUGCAUGAGAACUCGCAGAGCUUCUGUCGUUGGUCUUCCUCUUCCUCAGCCACCAAGGAUUGAAGUUUAGAACAGCUUGUAAUCGUCAGUCUUUUGAGAGAGCAAAUGUCUUGCAGUAAUUCGGUAUGACUCUUCCAUAUACAUGUUUCAUUUUUAAUAUUAUUUAUCCCCAAUUCUUCCAGUUUUGGUAUUCGCGGCUUCAAUGGCCCUGCUAGAAAAACUUGAUUUGAUGUAUCUCUAGAAACCACUGAAUUCUGUGAGCCGAGAUGAUCAGUUGCACUUCUCCCCACAACCUUUUUACAUUCACCAAUUUGCAAGUUGCAAAGAGCUGGAAGACUAGUAACUGAAACUGACAAUUCUUCACAUCUACCAAUUUGCAAGUUGCAAAGAGCUGGAAGACUAGUAAGUGAAACUGACAAUUCUUCACAUCCAUUAAUUUGCAAGUUGCAAAGAGCUGGAAGACUAGUAACUGAAACUGAAAAUUCUUCACAUCUGUAAAUAACAAGCAUCUGCAAUGCAGGAAGGCAUUCUGGAAAGGUUCCUCGCAGUUUAGAACAUCUUAAAAUGUGAAGCUCUCUCAAUUUAGGAAACCGUUCAACUCCCUGACUGGAUCCAUGAGGAAUCCAGUCUUCCCAUUCUUGCAUGUCUUCAAAACGAAGAGUCUCCAAGCAUGGAAAUGGAAUUGGAGAGUCAUUCCCAUAGAACUCUGAACCCAAUCUCUUUACUCUACUCAUUCCACGCACUGUAAGAUGCUUUAGAGAGGGCAGUUGCCCGACAGACGGCAGGGCAGUGCACAUGCCGCAAUCUUCAAAUUUAAGUGUCACUAAAUUUGAGAAUGAGGAAUCUCCUAACCAUGUUGGAAAUUUUGUGCCCCCAUAGCCACAGAUAUAAAAUUGUUCCAGAUUUUUAUGGGGUUUGAGCAUGUCGAGCACGCCCAUUUCAGUUUCUGCCUCCCUUGAAGAUGAACCAUCGGUACAGCGUGUCCAUCGAAGCAAUAAUUCUCUAAGAUUCUUCUUUCCAUCCAUUUGAGCCUCCUUCGCAUUACCAACGUCUUUUACAUUCUCCAAUUUUGAAAUUUUAAGUGUCCCACGAAGAUGCAUUAACAACUUUAGCUCUGGUAACCCCGAACCGGUAAAGCUUGCUGACUGAUUCAGGCAGAGUUUUAAUCUCAGUUCCAGACAGGUUAAGGUGCCUUAAAUACCUCAAAUCACCAACUGAAUCCGGCAGCUCGGCGAUGCAAUAUCCACGCAGAGAGAAGACCCUUAAGCUUUGGAGUUUGAACAACUUAGGAAGAAUGCUAUGAGCCAAGUAUCCAUGCCGACUAUUUAACAACAUCAGUGGUAAAAAAGUUCUCAAAUGUUGGAUAUCAUACAAUUUCUCAAACCUUUCAACGCCAUCAUAUUCUCCACAAAUGUAUGAUAGAUGACGAAGAUUUCUGGAAAAUCUUUGCUGCUUGUUAACCUCCGAGGUAUAUUCCAGUGUGAAGUAUGUCUCCCCUGCAGCCCAACGGGCAAGGUCGUUGAUAAGAUCGUGCAUAACAAAUCGUGAUGCAUCGGUGGCCGAUUGCUGGAAAAAAGAUCUUGAACGUAGCUCCUUAAAGAAAUCACGACCUAAAUCUUCACUAGGAUUCUCAACUUCUUUGUGAUCCAAAAAACCGGAGGCACACCAUAAUAAAAUUAUCUCCUCCUCUUCAAAUUCAUAAUCCUUUGGUAACAAUGAGCAGUAUGCAAAGCAUUGUUUCAAAGUUGGAGGAAGAUAAUAAUAGCUCACCGCGAGGGCUGGUAUAAUGCGGCAUCUCUCUUCUGGUAAUUCCCAUAUCUUGCUACUGAGCACACGUUCCCACUCACGUCUGUCAUGUUCUCCACGUAAAAGUCCUCCAAGUGUUUGUGCUGCCAAGGGCAAGCCAUCGCAUUUGGUGACUAUCUUCCUGCCGAUUUCCUCCAAUGACAUAUGUGAACUGAAAUCUCGCGUCCCCAAAGAAUGUUGAGCGAAUAUAGCUAGACAAUCAUUAUAUGACAGCUUUUUUAAUUGAUAAGCUGGAAGAGUCCCCAUGAUUUUUGCAACCUCAUGAUUGCGAGUACUGACAAUAAUCUUACUUCCCUGUGCACUUGCUCCAAGCGGACGGCUGAAGUCAACCCAAUCAUCGUAAUUCCGGUUCCAUACAUCAUCUAAAACAAGCAAAAAUUUCUUUCCAGAUAGUUGCUUAUUCAGUUCCUCUUGAAGCUUAUUCAAGUUGAGAUUAUCCACAUUCUGGUGAGUCACGAUGGAUGUCAAGAUUGUUUUUGUUAGCCUGAUAACAUCGAAAUCAUCUGAGACACAAGUCCAUGCCUUGAGAUCGAAAUGAUUCUGCACUCGAUCAUCAUUAUAGGCAAGCCGAGCAAGAGUAGUUUUGCCCAGCCCACCAAAACCUACAAUAGGUAUAACCGAGAAUCCACCAUCAUUUCUCAAAUCAUCCCUCAACAACAAUUCAACAAUUUCCUUCUUAUCUGUUUCCCUGCCAUAGACGUUGGCUCCAGUCACUACAGAGGUUGUCUCUAGCCUUUGACUGGCUUUUUUGGACCCUCCAGCUGAACUUACGUUCAAACCUAACGAGUCUGCUUGCCAAGCCACUUCUUCACAAACUGAUUAGUCGUCUUCUUCUCCUCAGCAUCAUCAAGCACCGCCUUGAUCAUCUCCAACAUAUUCGCCCACUUCAUCAGAUCGGCCUUGAUUUGCUCUUGGCGUGCAAAAAACAGAAUCCCCUCUGAAGCUAACUUAUUGACCAGCAAAUCAACGGACGCCGUAAGAAUUGCCUCUCCAAUGAUUGACAUUUUUUUUUUCUUUCUUCUCCUUUUUUUUUUUUUUGGGCAAAGAAAGAAGCAGAAUUUUGAGUUUUGAAAAGCAAAAUGAGAAAAUUGAACAGAAAGUGUGAAGGGUCAAGCAAAAUGAAUGUACAAGUCUUCCACUUGUUGCUUAUUCCAGGAAAGCGAAAAUAAAAACAGAGCCCACCACCCAUUAAUAAUUUAGCAAUUCACCAAUCACCAGUCACCACCACUCGUUACCAUGAAUAUAAUAAAUUGCACCUUGAUAUUUGCAGGGUCCAGCAACAUUUGAUUGGAUUCAAGCAGUCAUUACUUGAAUUUAUAUUUAAAAUUAAUAUUGAGCACAGCUCUUAAAUUAAAUGCAGGUUAUAUAUAUAAUAUAACUUAAAGAGAGAUUUUAUAAUAUAUCAGAAGAUUUAUACUGCACUAAUAAUAUGUAAGACAUGUAUAUAUUUAUUUAAAAAAAUUAUAAUAUAAUUAAUAAUUAUAUUUAAUUUAUCCGCUGCACAUAUUAUACGUGUAUUAAAUAAAUAUAAUAUAAUAUAAUCUAAAGUAUACGAUACCUUAGCCGCGCCUAGGGAUGGCAAUGGGCACCGCCCGUAGCGGGUUUGCCAUUACCAAACUCAAACCCGCACAAAAUUUAAAUUACCAAACCCACCCGCAACCCAUAGCGGGUUUUAAUUUUUUAAAAAAAAACCCACCCGCAGCGGGUUUUAACAAUUACCAAAUCCGCAAUAGUACCCGACGGAUUUUUUGCGGGUUUCUGUAUUUAAAAUCACAAAUGUUUAAUAUAUAAAUUUAUAAUAAUAACCUCAAAUUUCAUAUAACAUACUCAAUUUUAUAUUGAAACAAUAUAAAUAAAAAAUUAAAAUUUCCACAUCAAUCCAACACAAAUUCUCAAAUUUAAGUAUAAAUUACACAAAUUCAUUUAAAAAACACAAACUAGUAUCUAAAAAUAAUAAUUACAUUUCAUAUUAUCAUUUAAAACAAACUCCAAGAGAAGAUAUUCAUUUCAUUCACCACCAUAAGCACCCAUCCAAGACAAUGUCUAUAAAAAUAAUUAAGAUUAAUAUUUUCAAAUACUAAUUCGAAGAGAAAUGCCUUUAGUUUUCUUUAGGUUAUGACUUUAGAAUGGGAGAUAGGCCACAUACACACAUACACAACUUUGAGCCUUUGGCUAUUUGGUAAUUUGAAUAAUGAUAUUAUUUUCUUUCUACAUUUUUAGAUUAAAAUUAAAUUAAAAAUAUUUGGAAAAAAUAUUGUGAGUUUGGUGGAUAUCCAUGAGGGUAUCCAUCGGAUAUAAGGUUAAUACCAAACCCACCCGUAUCUAUGUGCGGGUUUUAGUUUAUAAUACUAAACCCGCCGCAACGGGUAAAAUUACCCGCAGGGAGCGGAUUUGGACGGGUUUGUGGGUUUGCGGGUACAAUUGCCAUCCCUAGCCGCGCCCCUGAUCUGAAGCAGGGUAGGACCCUCUGGCCCACCUCGGUCGUUUAAAAAGACAAGUUGGAUUGUGUGGCCGUUAAGGGUCUCCUUCUCCACGAGAAGACCUUUUUCGUCUUAAUUAGUAAAUGACCGAUCUCUCCCCGAUUACCCAAAAACACCAUCGACCUUUGAGGUGUCCGAGGGACUUAACAGUAAUUGCAGACGAGGGGACCAAUUUGCUGGAGAAUCACUCGCCACCGAAAGGCGUAGAGGAAGGGACACUGUAAUUUCAUCGCCUUAUUUGGGUAUCUGAUUUGUUUUAAAUUUUAUUGUCUUUUUGUUCUGGAUUUUGUGCGAAAGAAUCUGCUACCGAAAAACAAAAAAUCCAAAACCAAUUUGAAUUUUUCUUAGUGAAUUCUGUCCGUCUAAAGCUGAUUAAUAUAUUACCUACAUAUAAUAAUAUCACCAUAUGGAAUUCACGAACAACAAAAUAAGUUUAGGUGUUUGUUUCCGAAGCAGGAGAUGUAUAUAUAGCGUAGCCUACCAUUUCUGAAAUUACGAUUGGAUUCAAGCAGUCAAUUGAAUUCUCAUAAUCAUUGUGAGGCUAUUAUGUAGUAGAUGACUAGGUAGAAGCCAAGUAGGUUUUGAAUUGCACCUUGAUAUUUGCAGGGUCCAGCAACAUUGAUUGGAUUCAAGCAGUCAAUUGAAUGCUGAAUAAAGAGGAAAAUGGAAUGUAUCUACUACGAACCUUCACUUUACAAGUCUUCAAAGUCAUAAACCAAGUUAAAUCAAAACGUUUCUCUCUCUGUCUCUCUAUUAUAUAAUUACUAUAUUUAUUGAAUUAAUUUUCAUGCUAAAACGAAGACUUAAAAGUACACUACAAUUUUUUUAUAAUCACACAAUGAUAACUUCAAUUAUUAUGUUAUAUUAAUAUCGUGUUAAAAUAAAUUAUAAUAAAAUUUUAGUCGAAUAUAAUAAAUUCGACUUAUUUAUUAAAUAUAUAUAUUUAAUAAAAUAAUAACACAAUUAAUAUGUUAUCAAUCAAAUAAAAGUUCUAAAGUGAAAACAAAAUCGGCCCCCACGACCAUCAAUAAUGUAGCAAGCUUCACUUUAUUACACUAAAGUGAAAACAAAAACAGCCGCUACCACCAUCAAUAAUUUAGCAAGCUUCAAAAUGCUUGUGCUUGUCCGCUUGACGAACUGGGCAUGGGUGGACCAGGCAUCAUUGAGCAAUUCGAAACAAAUUAAAUAAUAAAAAAAUCAGUGUCCAGCAAAGAGAAUCGAUCUUUAUGCGUUGCUUCCUACUUAGUACAUCUAUUGAUAUGUACAUCUAUCUAACAUUUAGAAAAUGGAAGUAGAAAUUGGAACUCACUUUAUGGCUCGUAUGCAAUACACGUAUCAACAUUUAAUUAGAGUUCACACACACACACACACGUGUGUGUGAGUCUAGUUUUAAUUGAGAGAUAAAUUAAACAUAAAUACUUAGGCUCCGUUUGGUACAGCUUAUUAAAUAGAGCUUAUAACAGUAGAGCUUAUAGCAGUAGAGCUUAUACCAAUAGAGCUUUUGGACAAAAAGUCAUUAGGUGUUUGGUUGUCAAUAAAAAAAGUACUUUUGAACCAUUAACUGUGUGAUAUUUUUUAUAUUAUAUAUUUUUAUAAAAGCUCUCUAACCUCUACUAGCAAAAGCUCAAAUUUUGGGCUUUUGCUAGUAGAGGUAAAUUAGCUUAUUUAAGCUAAAAAAACUCUACUAAAAAAAUAACCAAACACCAUAAAAAAAUUUAAAAAGUGCUUAUACGAUUAAAUAAGCACUUAUGGCUCUUAAAUAAGCCAUACCAAACAGACAAUUAGAUGUUUCUAAAUGAUUGAAUAAUGAUAUUAUUGGUAUUUAUAAAUUUCUAAGAUGCGAUAAUUAUGUGGGGGGCAUAUAUUUAUGGUUAUAGAAAAUGGCGGUAAAAAUGGUACAAAUCUAAUAUAAUAAAAAAGUAUAAACUGUAGUAAAUUAAUGUUUACUUCAAAGUAUGUUAUAAAUAUCGCUUUCUUUAAUACGUUAUUUGCUCCCACCAAUUGAGUUAUGCAUAUGGAUUAAGCAAAUAUGCAUGUAGGAUACAAUAAAGCGCUGAUUUGUUUGUUUACGUUAUACAUCAAUGAAAGUAAACAUGAAUAUUCUUGAAUGUUAUAAGCCUACCGAGAAUUAAUAGAUUAUUCUUACAAAAAAAUAAUAUGUUGGAUAUUUGAUGCAUAAAAAAUAAAUGUUAAUUGAUGAAAUUCUUUUGAAGAAAGAGGACUACAAAAAAAUGGUGUAGGAUCAUUUUAUUCAUGUCUAAGUGACAUUUAUUUUUAUGAAUGUGAGGGUAUUUUGGUAAUUUUAUGGACACAAGAGUUGUGUGUUGUGGAUAGAUGUUCGUUUUGAACUACAUUGCGUGCAGUUAGUUGUAUUUCACAUUUAUGAAAAGUAACUAUGUCGUUUCCUUGAUUAGGAGAAACUGCGAGUGAGAACCAAGCCGCGGAUAUGAACGAUAGUCGAGUUUAAGCAUUGUCACUAUGAGUGAAAUAUGCAAACUCAUUUUCAUAUUUUAUUAUGAUUUUAGAGUGCAGUAAACCAUUAAAAUAAGAUUUUAAUGCUCUCAUUUAAUGAUUUCUAGAAUAAAUUUGAUUUACGUAUUGGUACAUUAUUAAAUUUUUAUGAAUAUUGGUUUUCCCUAUCGAUUUUGAGUAAUGUAUAAUAGUAUUUUGAAGAAAAUAAAAGUAAAUUUAAAGUAUGUUAAUGGAAAGAAAAGAAGACUUAAUGUACAAUUAAAAAUGUGUUAUGUAUGUGUAUAAAAAAUUGUUAUUAAAAAUCAUGAGACAAAACCCUCUCCCUCUAGUUAUAAUGAUACAGCUUAGAUGAGAGCCCUUCGGGGCCCCUCUGAACACAUAGAGAGGUUAAUAGGCUGUGUUUUUUAGCGCUUUUACCUUUUGGAGGCUUAUGCAUGCUGUAUGAUAAUAAAAGAGAUUCAAGAUAUAGAUAAGAUAGAGGCCUUUGGGCCUGUCUGAGUGCAUAUAGAAGCCUUGGAUCGUGUGCUUGGGUGCUUUUGUCCUUUAAGGACUAUUUUAUGUAUGCAGUUUGAUUAGAUAUGAUGAUAUAUAUGAGAUAUCACUUCAUUGAUCUAUCCUUUGUAGCUCCAGGCAUGACAGUGCUUGGAUAGUAUGUCAUUACGCUGCCCAUAUGAGGUCUAGGUACGACAAGAUCAUUUACUUGUUUAGUGACAGUUUAAGAAUCAAGUAUUCUAUUUUAUCUUUUGAUAUGAUUUUCAUGUGUAUUACGUACAGUAUAAUGUAUUCUUCAAUGACAAUUGUUCGAUUUAAAGUUUGAAUAAUUUAACUAUGUUCUUACUUAUAGAUUAGUAAAAUUGGUAUGUCAAAAAGAUAUGAUCAUCUUUAAAAUAAGUUACUUUCAAAAGAUGUUAUCCACUCACUGAGUUUACUAAUUUUUAUAUUCACCUUAUUUUAUUAUAUUUUUCCCUCGUAAAAGGAUGCAGGUACACCAAUCGACUGACCGACUGUAGUUAUUUUGAAUUUUUGGCCACGUGAUGGCGCUAGGAGAAAUAGAUGGUAUUAUGCAUUUUGAUCAUCUCAUUUUGGAAUGUAUAAUUGUAUUAUGAUGUGAUGAUUAUAGAUGUUUAAUAUAUAUUGAAAUCAGAUAUAUUAUAAUCUUUUGAUAUUGGAGAUGUUUGGGUGUUAUUUGGUAUUUUGGUUGAGAAGGUUGAUUGAUGGAACUGGUUAUAUAUUAAACUAUGUUAGGAGUGCUUGUAUAAAUUUGCAAUUUUGGGAUUAUUAUAUUUAUAAGGGAAAUAACUGCCAAAUUUUUGGUAGAAUCAUUACUAAUUAAAUUAUUAUCAGUCAAGCUAGACAAUAUAAGAUAGACCCCCAUGGAGUUCGAGGCGAGUCAUCGGUAUUUUAGUUGAGAAGGUUGAUUGAUGGAACUGAUUAUAUAUUAAAGUAUGUUAGGAGUGCUUGUAUAAAUUUUCAAUUUUGGGAUUGUUAUAUUUAUAAGGGAAAUAACUGCCGAAUUUUUGGUAGAAUCGUUACUAAUUAAAUUAUUAUCAGUCAAGUUAGACGAUAUCAGAUAGACCCGCAUGGAGUUUGAGGCGAGUUGUUUCAAAUCAAGUCCUUUAUAAAGCUCACUCACCCCUUGCUAGCUCUCACUCGUUACAAGCAUCUAUCUAUCAAUAUAUCAAUCAAUGCUUACAUUUUCUUUCCUCUUAUACAUAAAAAUGAAGUUCAUCUUGGCAACCUUGCUAUGGCAUUAUUAUUGUGAAUAGGAUAGAACGUUUGCAAUUAUCAUCUUCUGGUUGACCAAACCUGUAGCGACGUUCCAUUCAGAACCAACUGUGUGGCCUCAGUCAGUGUGAAACUCUCUUUAAAACCGAUGUUGAAAUUAAACCAAAAUGAAAUCCUCGGCGCAGUAAUAACUGUACUGAAGGAACGGGCUAUUCAAGCUAGGGAAGACUAUUCUAAUGCGCAUGAAAUUAGUAAAGACAGUUAUGAACAGAGCGUGCUCAUGGCUUCCAUUGGUGAAUACAAUAAAGUCGUAGAAGCUUGCGACAAAGCAAUUGGACCAGGUAAGGUUGGCGAUUUUGCGGUCGCGAAAACAGCAGCUGACGAAGCCAACCUGAGCGUUUCUCGCGUUGACGCAUACAACAUCGAGAACCCGAACCUAAAACAUGUCAAUUUGAACUUGAAAAUUGCUUCUAAAAAUGCAGUAGCCAUAGCCAUCAAGGCUUUUAGUAAAACAAGGAGAGUACAAUUAUUUAAUUUAAUUGAUCAUGAUUUCAGAUUUCUUUCAUCAUCGAUCUGUCAAAGUAUUUGGCUGCAGCUUCUAGAAGCUACAUCUAGAAGCGUUGAUGCAGCAAAUGUUGAAGGGUUAGGCACCGCCAAGGAAGAAUGAAGAAGAUGUUGUAGAAGUUGAUCUUGACAAAUGAUGGUUGGAACGCCAAAAUGGAAGAAAGAAAAAUGUUGGAACACGGCUUUGAAGAGGCCACGAGAAGAAUAAAGAAAAUAUUAAAAUAAUAGCCAAUUUUGGCUAUAUAAAGGAAGCUCCCCAUUUUUAGUUUUUACAUCCAAUCCUCGGUUUCUCUUCAUUUAGAGAAUGUUUCUUUGGGGUGUAUUUGGGGCUUAGGUGAGAGAAAAUUAUUUCUGACAGUGUGGUUGUAAUAAUUUUCCACAUAGUGAAUAUUUUUUCUCUAGUUGUCUUUUUGACAACGGCCGUGGUUUUUCUCCAGAUUUGAAGUUUUCCAUGUAAAUCUUGUGUUGUGAGAUUGAUAUUAUUUUUCAUUUAAUUUUUCUUGUUAAUUUGUUACUUGACAAAUUGCUUGGAGAGAUCCUGGGAGGAAGCUCAAUUUCCUAACAGUGGUAUCAGAGCCAUUGAUUGAAGUUUUGGUGUCAGGGCACUGUUCACGUAUACGGUACUAUUCACGUAAAGCAGUGGGAGCCAAUCCAAAUUGUCCGUGGUGAAGAGUAAAAGUUGAUCUGCAAAGCAAAUAUGUUAGGAUUGAAAUUUUCAAGUCCGGUGAAAUUUGAAAUAGAAAAAUUCGAUGGGAGAAUUAACUUUGGCUUGUGGCAAGUUCAAGUCAAAGAUGUGUUGAUUCAAUCUGGGUUAUACAAGGCAUUGAAGGGGAAGCCAUCCCCUGCUUCCAGUAGUGGCUCUGGAAAAGCUAGUAUAAGUGAUGAAAAUUGGGAAGAAUUAGAUGAUAGAGCUGCAAGUGCCAUACGACUGUGUUCUAGCAAAGAAUGUUCUUGCAAAUGUAGGAAAAAUUCCUACAACGAAAGAACUUUAGGAGAAGCUAGAAAAGUUUUAUCAGACAAAGAGCAUCUCAAAUCGAUUGUACCUGAAGGAGCGAUUUCACACACUGCGAAUGGCUGAAGGUACAAAAAUUUCUGAUCACCUCAGUGUUCUCAAUGGUAUUAUGUCAGAACUAGAAGCCAUUGGAGUUAAAAUUGAAGAUGAGGACAAGGCGCUUAGAUUACUAUGGUCACUUCCAACUUCCUACAAACACCUGUUACCUACUUUGAUGUACGGGAAGGAGACAAUAGAUCUUGAAGAAGUUACUAGUACUUUACUCUCAGAAGAAAGAAGACUGAGUGGUGAAAGUAUUGAAACUACAGAUGUCUCGGCUUUAGCAGUUGUAGGGAAUUGGCAGAAAGAUAAAUCUAAGAAGAAAAGGGUCUGCUGGGGGUGUGGACAAUCGGGGCACUUAAAAAGAGAUUGUCAUAGUAGAAAUGGGGCAGGAUCGGCAAGUGGCUCUAGAUCAGAUAUUGAUAGUAUUGCUAGUGGUAAGUCUCUCAUCAUCGUGGGAGACGAUGAUCCCUUGUAAAAUGGAUGAUGAUGACAUCCUCAUGGUAUACCGCUAGUACCAUGAAAGGGGAUGUUUUACUACUAGCGGGUCCAUAAGAUUUACACACAAGGCAUGGUUGGCAUUGAUGUAGGGUGUGUGGUGGAAUUUAUGUCGAUGGCUGAUGAAUUUCCAGGAAAGCCAACAUGGAAGUUGCACCAUAAAUUUCAGCAGGAUGUUUCGACAUGUGCCGAUGUAAAAUUCUUAGAAUUGGUAAUUAAUUCUAAGUGGUAUACUCUUUUACGGUGGAGUAUGAUAAUUCUCUAUGGUGAGGAAAAUAGUAAGGUUAGUGUGGAGAUUAAUUGAUUCUCAAUCAAAACUCCAAGUGGGAGAAUGUCAAAGUAUUUGGCUGCAGCUUCUAGAAGCUACAUCUAGAAGCGUUGAUGCAGCAAAUGUUGAAGGGUUAGGCACCGCCAAGGAAGAAUGAAGAAGAUGUUGCAGAAGUUGAUCUUGACAAAUGAUGGUUGGAACGCCAAAAUGGAAGAAAGAAAAAGGUUGGAACACGGCUUUGAAGAGGCCACGAGAAGAAUAAAGAAAAUAUUAAAAUAAUAGCCAAUUUUGGCUAUAUAAAGGAAGCUCCCCAUUUUUUGUUUUUGCAUCCAAUCCUCGGUUUCUCUUCUUCAUUUAGAGAGUGUUUCUUUGGGGUGUAUUUGGGGCUUAGAUGAGAGAAAAUUAUUUCUGAGAGUGUGGUUGUAAUAAUUUUUCACAUAGUGAAUAUUUUUUCUCUAGUUGUCUUUUUGACAACGGCCGUGGUUUUUCUCCGAAUUUGGAGUUUUCCACGUAAAUCUUGUGUUGUGGGAUUGAUAUUAUUUUUCAUUUAAUUUUUCUUGUUAAUUUGUUACUUGACAAAUUGCUUGGAGAGAUCCUGGGAGAAAGCUCAAUUUCCUAACACGAUCUUUGUCUUUUUUAUCUUUUUUUUUUAUUUGAAUUUCCUCAUUUAGAUAUGCAAACCAAUGAUAUUCUUUUUUAUGAUAUUGUUGGAGAGAAUAAUAAUAAUAAUAAUAAUAAUAAUAAUAAUAAUAAUAAUAAUAAUAAUAAUAAUAAUAAUAAUAAUAAUAAUAAUAAUAAUAAUAAUAAUAAUAAUAAUAAUAAUAAUAAUAAUAAUAAUAAUAAUAAUAAUAAUAAUAAUAAUAAUAAUAAUAAUAAUAAUAAUAAUAAUAAUAAUAAUAAUAAUAAUAAUAAUAAUAAUAAUAAUAAUAAUAAUAAUAAUAAUAAUAAUAAUAAUAAUAAUAAUAAUAAUAAUAAUAAUAAUAAUAAUAAUAAUAAUAAUGUGUGCUCUUUGAAGCAGCUUUCUGCUUAUGUUGUAAUGAAUAAUUUUUUAAUUGAUUGAUUGAAUUAUUUUAUGCUUUUAUUUAUUUAAUUACGUGAUGAUCAUGCAUGACUAAUUAAGUGGAUUCAUAGAAUUGGAAAAAUAAAAUAAUGACAGAAACAAAAUAAUAAAUCAAAACGAUUAAUUGAUUGUCUUUAUGUGUGUUAAUCAAUUAAUACAAAGAUUAAUUAUCAAUUAAUCAAUGAAUAAAUAUUUGUUGACUUAAUUUUUGUCAAUCAAAUUUUCUAAUCACAAUGGUAUCGUUUCUGUUUAUUAUUUUAUCAUUAUGCAACAACUUUCUCUCACAAGAUAAUAGAUUGUAGUAUUUCAUACCAAAUUAACACUUGUCCAUGUUACCGAUGAAAAUCAUGGUAGCAUUAUUAGAGAGCUUUUUCUUUUCUUUUUUCUCCCCCUUUUUCUGUUUUGUCCUUUGUUUGAUUGGGUGUAAUGAAACAGAUAUAACUAGGGACCAAGCAUGACCUAUAUAUAUCUUCAUCAACAAUCAAGGAAACAAGGGAUUGAAUUUGAUGUGUCACAUUAAUCCACCAAAGGAUAGACAUGGGACUUGACAUGAAAAUGAAUACAAACACAAACACAAACAUUUACUCCUCCAAUGAUUGUUUCAAUAUCCUUACCCUUGAUAUUUGCUCACUUUUAUAAAAUAUAAAUCUGCUGGUGAAUUUUUGGUACCUUAAACAGUUUUCUGACUUAUGAGGAAAAAAAAAACUAUUUUUUUUAAAAUAUUGCACAGAGAAAUUAAAAAAAGAAAAAAAACUAUUAAAGAGACUAAAUUAAUAAUGGUAGAAUGCUGACAAAAAAAAAUGUUAAAAUUAACUCAUUUUAAUGUGUUGACAAUUGAGUGAUUACAAUGAGCCCGACUUAAAUUUUAUAUGAAUAUAUUCAAUUAGAUCACAUACAAAAUUUGAUUACCUUCACUACUAUAAGAUAUUAUUUGAUUAAUACAAAUUAAUUCAAAUAUGAUAUGUUAAGUAGAGAAUAACAAUGUUUUAGAUCAUUGUUUACAAUACAUGGAUAAACUGGGUAAUUAGUUAAAGACCUGUAGACCAAAAAUGGAUUUAUGUAUUCAUCUUAUCUCCACAUUAUAUGUUGAUGCUUUCAUUUCUACUCGUCCUUUAGUUUCUUCUCAAUGCAAAUGCCAGCUGGAUAGGUGGAACAACAUUUCCAAUGUGCUAUGCUUGUGUUGGAUGUUAUCAACAAUCUUGUAGCCAUCUGAAAAACCCUACGUGACGAGGAAGUAAGAUUAAUUUAAAAGUAUAAUCACAAGUGAUGCAAAUAGUAACAAAAUCUAAACAAUUAAGAAGUUUUAUAGUCAAACUUCUAAGAAUGGAGAUUUGUUCAUUGGUUUUAAAAUUUAUUUUGCAUAUUCUAAUUUUUCAUUUAAAUAAUUGCACGAAUUUGGAUCCAGUGCUGAUCACAAUCUUGUAAGAAGAUACGCACAAAUCUUAGCUCAGCACUAAAUCCAAAUCUCAAUUGCAAAUAUCAAAAUAGCAAUAAGACUUACUCGAGAUCAAUCGCACAUUCACGAGCUUUCACCGAUUGUAUCUCUAACUGUUAUUGCACGGAAAGGAGCGCCAUUUGGUAACUUGGCCUUAAGCUCAGGACCGGCAAAGACGUGCAUUGGUUCUGGCCAUUCCGGCAUUGUUUCCUCAGGUGAAGCUGCCCAUACGAAUGCUUGUUUACGACAUGGAAACAGAUCGUAUGCUGCUGCUUCCAAUGCAUCGGACCUCGCCUAUAAUAACAACAAUAAAUAGAUGAAUAAUCUAAUCGGAGGUGAUUGUAUAUAUACUGACAAUAGGUUUGUUUUAACUAUGACAAAAUUACUCAACUAAUUCCCAAAUUAAGGCUCAAUUCAGGACUGGUUCGGCAAUUAAAAAGUGUUUCGUAAGGACUUUCAAUUAUGAUUUGGAAGUUAAAGAUAAUUUUUCUCAACAAUUGUCUGAUGAAAUUGUAUUAGAUCUUGGCCAGGACUUGACCGAGUGUUUUCAAUCAACUUUCUUUGGCUAGUCACUCAAGUUUAAACCCUGUAGUAUAAACCCUCUAAGUGGUAUGAACCUAAGAAAUUGAUUCAGGCUUUUUGCACCACCCCACAACUUACUACUUUUUCAAACAUAUUUACUUUAAAAGUCAUGGCAUCUUGAUAGGCACCCCUUUAUGUUAAGUUAAACCAGUAUCGGUGGGUGAGGUUUAUAAAAAUAGACAGCAAUAACAUACCACAACUUCUUUAUGGACAUGCAAUCCAUCGGUCGUAGCAGAACUAGCUGACAGCUCCUGCAGGGCACAUGCAAUUAUAUUUUGAUCAGUGUUCACGAAGCUAAAGCAGUGCAAAUAACAGAUCAUGGCUUAAUUAAGUAACUACCUGAAGGUGAUUAAAUAAUUGAGAAUGAAAUUAUAUUGUUAAGCAAAGACGUAAGCUAGAUUACCCCAUUUAUCUAUUUGAAAUCUCAUCUUGAGAGCAAAUGGCGGCACUGACGAGGCUUGCUCAAUUUCGGCCUGCAUGGCUGCAUGUCUGAUAAGAGUGGAAACAUAGUGCCUUUAGCUAAAUCGUAGAAUGUUAAAGCUGAUGCUACUGAAUAUGGAGAGUGAUUCAUAUACACGGUCUUCACAAAUAUAUAGUUGUUAAUUACAGGAGAAGUUGCAAUAUGAAGUUAAUUUGAAAUUUAUAUUUCUUACCUCGAAUAAUAUCUGGUAAAUUGCGGAUUCGAUAAGGUCAAACUUUCUUUAUGAUCAUCAUCUUCUUCUUGGUCUUCGCCUUCCGAUGUUCCUAUUUCUGAUGUUUCUCCACAUUUUCUUCCUCUUUUAACAACUUUCUUUGAAGAUUUUGUCAGAAAUAUCAUUGUGAGAAGAGUAUCUCUAAAGUUUACAACUUGGAAAUGAGACCUUAUGUGAUAUGUACAUGAAGGAUAGAGAACAUGCUAGUAUUUAUAAGAAACAAUGUGGUGGUUUUAAAGAAACUAAAUUAAGUUAUUAUUUAAUAAAAAGUCAAAUACAAAUCCCGAAGAAUCCGCUGUAUAAUCGGACAGAAUCUGGAAAACAUAGGCACUUUUAAUAAAAAGUUAAAUACAAAUCCCGAAGAAUCCGCUAUAUAAUCUUAUAGAAUCUAGAAAACGGAGGUACAUGCAUGGCAAUAUCAUUACUUUGUACGACUGGAUUAUUUUUACAAAUUUUUAUCCAAAGAAACUAAAUAAAAUUUAUUAUUUAAUAAAAAGUCAAAUACAAAUCCCGAAGAGUCCGCUGUAUAAUCUGACAGAAUUUAGAAAAUGGAGGCACAUGCAUGGCAAUAUCAUUACUUUGCACAACUGGAUUAUUUUUACAAAUUUUUAUCCAAUCCCUUGUUUGAUGCCUGUAAAUCAAUAUUUAAAUAUAUAGUUAUUUUGUUAUGUUAUUUGAUUUUAACUAUUAAUGUGAAUAUUGGAAUAUAUAUUUAUAUUGAACUAAUAAAAUAACUGUAUAAAAAUAUUUGAAUAAACUUAAUUAUGAAUUUUGAAUUCAUGAUGUAAGGUAGCGUUUGUUUUUAAGUCUGAAAUCUUAGUAAGUCUGAAUUUAGCUCAAAUCUGAAUAGGUUUGAAUUGCAUAUGUCUAAAUGGCAUGUUUUUUUUCUCUUUUUUGAUGUCUGAAUGUAAGUGACAUCUGAAAUAUGAUUAUUUAACAUUUAUGUCCUUGUAAGAAUUAUUUAUACUUAUUAUAAAUUUUAAGAUUUAAAUAUGUGCACGUUACAAUUAAAAUCAAAGAUAUGUAGAAUUGAGUAAUUGAUCUUUAAAUAAAAAUAUUAUUAUAUUACUCCAAAUACAAAAUUGAAUCAAACUUAUUAUACUUUAAAAUUUAAAUUUAAUUUUAUAAUUUACAUCAUCUUUUUUACCAUUUAAGAUUGUAAAAGCCCAUUCGCCCAAACCUAGUCUUAAUUAGCUGUACAUAAGUGUAAAGGCCCAUAUGUUCUUAAGAAGUGUUAAGAGUUUUCAUAGACCCAUAAGUGAAUGGAUAUGUGUAAUGCCCUCAAAUUCAAGCCAGAGUUAUAACUGUUGGCAGAUCUGUGUAAUCCAAAUCCAUAAUAAAAAUCAAGAUCCGUAUCUGCUCCAGAUCCGUCAUGAAUUCAUAUUUUUCGUUCCAUAUCCAGAUCCAAAAAAGAAAUAAAUAUCUAUAUCUGCUCCAAAUCCGAAAAAAUUUUUUUAAUCCAAAUAUACUCCAGAUCCGUCAUGAAUUCUAAAACUCAGUAAUAAAAAAGUAAUAAUUUUUUAGAAUGAAAAUUGAAUGCUAAAAUGUUUUGAUAACAAAUAAAUUAUAUAAUUUAUCUCAAAAUAUAAUAAAUAUUGUAGUUUAUACUUUUACACCAAAACAACAAAUAAGAAAGCACUACUAGAAAAAUGGUCUUUACUGACUUUAGAAUAGUGUCAGAAAUUACUUUCACUGACACUUGUUAAUUGUGUCAGUAAUCUGGGAGUCAGAAAAAUAGUGACACUUGUAAGUGGUGUCAGUGAUUACUAUUACUACAGUAUCACCGAUAUUAUGACACCAUAGUGUUAGUAGUUAUUGAUAUUUUAUUAGUGUCUAUGAUUACUGUUACCAUGGUAUCACUAGUUAAUUUAUUUUUUUAAAAAUAAAAAAUUAAAUUGGAUCAUUGCCUAUUGAUUUAUUUGUAAAAUUAAAAGCACCACAAAAUAACAAAAAGAAAUUGAUUUAUAUCACAAAAUCUUUCAUUUCACAUUUAAAUUUAAAUAUUAUUAGUAUAUAUUACAAAUUGAACUUCAAUAGCCAAAAUAUGAGAUAUCCUACUCUCAUAACUAAAUAAUCCAAAUUCAAUACAUAAAAAUUAGUCUCUGUCCCUAUCUGACCAACUUCCAUCAGAAUUAGUCUCAUCACUUCUGCUUUCACUGUGAUAAUUGGAGCGCCUCCGACUCCAAGUUGUUUCAUGAACUUGACGUUCAUCAUCAUGGCUUUUGCCAGAACCACUUUUCACACGAUCAGCCUCCCUUGAUCUAGACCUUCUGUAAUGAUGCCUGCAUAAGAAAUUACAAAACCAUAAAUAACCAAAAGAUUUCUAGCAUCAGCAGUAAAUACAUUAAAUAAUGAAAUUUGAUCAUAGUUUGGAUCAUCAUCCCUUGUACAUAAGAUUGCAAUGCUACAUCACCAAAGGCUUCUUGUUGAAUCUAAUUAUUUUCUUGCCAUGCUUGCAACAUGGUCAUUACAAUUAUAACUCUGGCAAAGUUUUUGAAAGUGGGUUUUAAACUCGAACAAUAGACCAAAAAACCAACAGAAGAACUUUCUUUAAAUCUUGCAUUGUGAGAACAUCUUUUCAUUAUUCAUUGCUUCUAAGAAAACCGAGUUAGGAGACUUGAAGAAAACACAAAUGAAGAGAACGAUACUAUGAAGAAACCUCUCAAAAUCAUCGGUCAAACAUGGAAGUUUAAACUAAAAAAUUCAAAUAACAGAAAGUGAAUUAAAUAAACAAGAGUUCAUAUAUACCAAGUACAGUUUUUAGUGUCUAUGACUAGUAAUAAAAGCAUACCUGUCGGCAUUAGUUGAAUCUAUCUUGUUCCUCGUUUGUCCUUAGCGUUCUUGAUUCCAAGUCCCAGAUUCAUCAGAAUAACCAAAUAACGCAGCCAUCUUUUUCACCCAAUAUCUUGGAGGUGGUUUAUCCCAAUCAGCCCAUUCAUAGUCUCCGCCAGGGUUGCGGAAACAGUGGAUAAAAUUGCAAGCCAUUCCACGAGAGCAUGUCUGUUAAAAUAUGCUCAACGAAUAUAAUAAGAGUGUAAAGAAAAGAAGAAAAGAAACAAACUCAUUUCAUAUCAAAAGAAAAAUGGCAAAGAAAAAAGCAAGUGUGUAAGCCGCACAAUUAUAACUCUGAAAAAUGAGACAAUUGGCUGUACCUUUAGUCUUGACUUCAUAUAUUCGCCACAUAUGGCAAUCUUCCAUCUAGUCACAUUAAUAAAUUCACAUGUGAUCUGUCAAGAAACACACAAAUAAAUAAACCAUCACCAUCCAGAAAAUGACAAGCUGUAAAAUUCAGUAAACAGUAAUGUGUUGAUUACAAUUUAAGCAUGGAGAAAAAUUUUAGAUUAGACUAUGUCAACGGUGUCCACAGAUAGUUAAAAGAUGGGAGAAUGUGCUGGCGUUCACUAAGCAUAUAAUUUUUCACAGCUUAACCCAUUGCAAUUUUACCACUGUCAAGUCUAAAGGAAACUAGUCAGGAAUCUUCUGUAAAGUAAAUAAAUAGUGAAACAACUGUUCUCAUAGCAAUAAAAUGAAAUUAUUUUAAUAAUUUUCUUCAACUUUCAGACCAAUCAAACAAGUAAAGCAAUUUUAGUACAAUGCACAGCAAUUUAAGCUGAAUGGACAAUUGGAACAAUUACGGAACAACUAGACCCCAACGAAUACUGCAAAAACAACCCUUAAACAAUGACUUAAGAAAGUAGAAGCUUCUCUUAAGAAAGUAGAAGCUUCUCCUAGAUCAUGCCUUUUCAAUCUCCCUUUGCUAAGAAAGCUGCCCUGGUAUUUAAGACUAUCCAAAUCCUAUCAACAUGUUGGGACAUUCAAAUACAGCCUCCAAGAAGACAUGUUGUAUGCUUUACAACUGAAGUCUGUCGGAUAAACCAAAUCUUAUACCCAAUGCCAAGAGCUUUAAUUCAAUCCAUUUUAACAGGCACCAAUUACCAGGAAUGCAGGCAGACAAAGAGGAUCAAAAUGACAAGAUAUCAGUAUUCUGGAAUUUCUAUCAAAAACAUGAAAAGUGGCAAGGCCUAUUCACUGAGAGCCAAACAUUUUUUAAAUAGUAGUUACUUUAUAUAAAACAAAUAAAUAUAAAGUAGAAAGUAAGCUCCAACAAUUCUUCACAAAGGCCUGUUUCCCAGCAAAGUAACGACCAUUGACAGAAGGGUAAGUGAGAACAGCUGAUUCCAGCGACUUAUAGUGAACAUAGACAUUUCCUCUCAAGUGGGAAGAACCAUUUCUACACACCUGCACAUAUUUGUUAGUUAGUAUAAGCAGAAAAGGAAGAAACCCAUGCCUAAAUCUUACAGAAUACUGAGUCUACAAGAAAUGCUAAAUAAUGUCCAUAGAGUUUCAAUUAAUCUGGGAGGCCAGAGAAUGAUUUAAGAAAGAGUAAUGAAAGAACCACAUCCAUCUUGUACAAACAAGGGCAUACAAACUAAUAUGGCAUGAGGAGAUUGAUUGUAUAAAACCAUCCUAGGUCUACAUAAUUGAAAAAAAUAAUUGUUAUCACUUUUCAGCCAAGCUCUUCAUACCACAUCAGUUGGUACACACUAAGCUGUAAAAAUUUGUUUGUGGCUCUGUCAUUAUUGUCAAAGAAAAUGGUAACAGCUAGUUUUCUUCAUAUUUAUCAUAUUUGUUAAUCUCAAAAUUGCGAUAUUUGAAAAACCUAAGAAAAGGGUAAUAGAAAUAAAGAAACUUGAGAAACUCCAAGACAGCAAGUACAUUUACAGAAAAUAGUUAACAACCUUGAAAUUGACAAUUUUACCAAACUUCAGGAACUCCAUAUGAACAUCCUCAUAAAAUUCUUCAUAAGAGCGUUCAACUUCUUCAUCUGUAUACUGAAAAGAAAGAAGGCAAAUCAACCAAAAAAUUUUUUUGCGUAUGUUAACAUCAGAAGCAUAAAAUCAAAAGAAAAGUAUGAAAUCAAAAGAAAUAAGGCAAAUCAACAAGCAUAAAAUUUUUGCGUAUGUUAACAUCAGAAGCAUACUAGUCCUACAGCAAUAAAAAACAGAAAAGUAUGUAACAAACAAAGCUAUACUAUAAAGUCGACCAAAAUGCCUUUCAUUCUAAUGCUCUCCUCUCCAUGCAGCCAUAAGUAGCUUAAGGCUCAACUUGAUCAACUUCUGUGAUGACUGCCUUGCUGAUGGGCUUUGCCGUCAAAAGAUUUGUGUACUCUUGGUAUGGAGAUUUCACAAAGCGAGUCUCCCUCCAGAAGUCAGGUGUAAGGAAGCCAUAUGUCUUCAACAAACACUCAAAGGUUGCCUUGACAAAGUUUCCAAGAGUCUUGGUCGACCCACGAGAAGAUGUGAAAACAUCGUCAAUACCAGCAAACUGCAGCACCUUCUUUGGAACCCUAGCCGCCACAAUUCCGGCACCACGUGGGUCCGGAACCAUCCUCACGGUGGCACUGCCACACUUACCGGUCACCUUACACGGCACGGUGUGUGGCCUCCCGAUCUUGUUACCCCAGUAACCCCUUCUCACCGGAAUCACCGACAGCUUCGCCAAUAUGAUAGCGCCACGGAUGGCAGUGGCAACCUCUUUGGAGCACUUAACGCCAAGACCCACGUGGCCGUCCGUGUCACCGACGACGACGAAGGCCUUGAACCUCGUCCUUCAAUUUGUGGUCGAUAAGCGUGUCGAUGAUUUGCUACUCCUUGAUUGGGAGCGAGUGGAGGUAGAUUUGCUCGAGGCUCCUGAUCUUGCCUUCUCUCACCAGACGGCCGAGUUUCGUGACUGGGACCCACUUCUUUUCUUCCUCUCUGCGUCCUGCGCGGCGACGGUCACGUGGCCCUCCACGGUCGCCGCGGCCACCACGACCGAAGCCGCGUCCGAAUGCACCACGCUCGCCCACUUUUUGACAAUUUGGACGUUAGGGGUUUUUCAGAUCUGGGAAGCUUAGGAGGGAACGAAUACUUUGGUAGAGGGAGUUGAAAAGUUGUAUUUUGGAUAAGAUAAGACUUGUCCAUUUGUUUUGUUUUUAUCCACUCAAAAAACACAACUUUAAAAAAAUUAAAAAUAAUUCGUAGCCUAGUGGUCUUUUAAUUCAAUGUAGAAGCUCUAGGUUUAAGAGGUCUUGGGUUCGAAUUCGGACUAAAACAAAAUUAAAAUGAUAAUUUUUAAUUGCUGAUACCUAAGCGUCAUUGAUCGCUAUUACUAAAGCUAUUGAUACUUCAGUAUUAGUAAUUAGUGAUACAUAUCUGUUAAACGCUGAAAAUGAUCCAAAUAUAUGUAUAUACUGAUACUUUUAAAUAAAGUGUCAGAACACAAGUAUCAGUAAAGACCAUUUUUCUAGUAGUGAAGAUUAUUCAAAAGUAAUUGCAGGAGUAAGAUCAAUCUAAUAUUCUAUUGUCUCCUUCAUCAUUCUAAUAUCCACACCCACCCACCCUCAUUCCUACAAUAUUAGAUAAUGAAAUAUAAAUUAAAUAUGAUUUAUAUUCAGUGUUUUAUUAUUUUUUUUAUGGCCAUAUUUGACUAAAUAUAUGAAUAACUAUAUUCCUUAAAAAUUAUUUGGCCAAUAUAGUAAAAUAAAUUACCAAGUUGUAUUACUUGGCCUGCAAUUUGAAUAUUGCAGAUAUAUGCUUUAGGUUUUAGGACUGGCUGACCUUUAAAUUUACAAAACUAACUUUUAAGUUUUAAGAGUUUAAAUGUAUGGUAAAUACCACUAAUAUGCUAUGAAUAAAAUUUAUUAUCAUCAUAAUUCUACAAUUGUUAAGAGACUUUUAAAAUAAAAUAAAAUAAAAAGAUGAGUGAAUAUGGAUAUGGAUUUAGAUAUUACGAUAUAUCCAUACCUGCUCCAGAUCCGCCUUAGAUCCGCACAUCAAUAUCCAAAUCCUAUCCAAAUUCAUUUUAAACUGACCCAAAUCCGAUCCGAUUGGAUUUGGAUCACGUGGAUCUUGGAUCAAAUCCAAUCCAUUGCCAUCCAUAUGUGUAAUCCUUUUAAAACCGUUCUCUAAUUAUAUUAAAAGACGAAAUAAAUCUAAUUAAAUUCUUAUAUUUCUCUCUCUAUAAGUUUCUUUUUUUAAUAGGAAAAAGACAUCUACACCCCUAAGGUUUGGAAAAAUGAUCAUCAACACCCCUAUGUUUUCAAAGGUGGACACCAAGACUCCCUUUGAUGAUUAUACCCUUUAUCUCUAUUAUCUCAAAAGAAUUAACUCUAAUAUUUUACAAUAAAUAGAAAUAUGAUAUUAAAAUAAAUGUAAUAAUACGUACAUUUUAAAAUAAUUUCAAUAUUUAAAAAAUAUUUUAAUAUUUUAAUAUUUUAUAAUUUAUUAGAUAUAUUUUACUAUAUUAAAGUAAAUUUUAUGAUAAAUAGAAUCAUAAUAUUAAAAUAAAUGUAUUAAAAAUUUAAAUUAUUUUGAAUAUUAUGUAAAAUAAUAAUUUUAACAAUAUUAGUAUGUGAGAAUGUUUUUAAUUGUAGAACGUAUUUAAUGCAAAUAUUUAUUUAAAAUCUCUACAAUAAAAAAAUAUUAUUAAAAUAAAUAUAAUAAAUUACAUAUUGAAAUAUUAAAUAUCUGCUGUACGGCCAAGGCGGAUGNNNNNNNNNNNNNNNNNNNNNNNNNNNNNNNNNNNNNNNNNNNNNNNNNNNNNNNNNNNNNNNNNNNNNNNNNNNNNNNNNNNNNNNNNNNNNNNNNNNNNNNNNNNNNNNNNNNNNNNNNNNNNNNNNNNNNNNNNNNNNNNNNNNNNNNNNNNNNNNNNNNNNNNNNNNNNNNNNNNNNNNNNNNNNNNNNNNNNNNNNNNNNNNNNNNNNNNNNNNNNNNNNNNNNNNNNNNNNNNNNNNNNNNNNNNNNNNNNNNNNNNNNNNNNNNNNNNNNNNNNNNNNNNNNNNNNNNNNNNNNNNNNNNNNNNNNNNNNNNNNNNNNNNNNNNNNNNNNNNNNNNNNNNNNNNNNNNNNNNNNNNNNNNNNNNNNNNNNNNNNNNNNNNNNNNNNNNNNNNNNNUUCAAUUUUGGGAUUGUUAUAUUUAUAAGGCUGCUGUACCGUACAUCCGCCUUGGCCGUACAGCAGAAUUCAAAAUUUCGGAUGAUGAUAAUCUUGUUUUAGAAGAGAUUUCUAGUUAUGGUAGCAGCAUUCUUGAUCGUGGCAUCACAAGCACAUGCUCUGGUUUGCUUAGUUUGCCUUUUGUCUCUGAUAUUUUCUUGGCAUUGUGGGAUAUUGUUUCUUUCUUUUUUCUUUUUUUUUUGUUAUAGGAUUCGGAGAUAUUGUAUAUGUAUGACGAUGAUAUAAUAAUGUGCUUUUGAUAAAUUCACCUGGUCGGUUUACUUCACCAACCAUUAAUGAGCAAAUCCUCCCAGUGACCCUCAAACUCUUCUACACAAUUAUAAUAAUUUCAGUUUUAUAUAAACAAAAAUGAACAGCUCUUAAAUAUAUACAAAAUGAACACUCCAAUAAAUCUCGUAAUAAAUCAAAAUAAUUACAAUUUCAUUUUUAUGAAUUUAAAUAUUCAAUAACUGAUAAAUUGUAUUUAUAAAUAUUAAUAGCAAUGGCACAGAAACUAUUAAGUUAAAUUAAACAAUUUUGUAAUACAGUCCAGUCCUCGUGUGUUAAUAUUGAGGCAGCUAGUAAUUCCUUUGGUGUAAAUAAUUAACUUUCUUUCAUAUGCACAAUAUUUAAAAUAAUCACCAAACAACAAUUCACAAGUUACAUUACACAUAGACGAAAUAAUACUAAUCUAGCAAAUCCAAUCAUAAUAAUUUAAUUUUCAUUUCUAUUAAUUAUUUCCAAUCAUGCUAUUUUUUAAAAAGAACACUCCAGCGUUUAUAUAUUCAACAGGUAAAAUUUCAAAACAAUAUUUGCCAAAGUCUGAUGUAGAGAAUAAACGCGCACACACGUAUAUAACCGUACAGCAGAAGGAUAAAUAAAAGAAAAUGAAGUUUCAACAGUUGAAUAAUGCAAACUCAUUUUUUUUAAAAGCAUUUUAUUGUUUAAUUAAAAAAUUCGAAAACCCAUUAUGUACAUGAUAAAAACUCACCGACGCCGAACCAUAUUAAUUUAAAUUAGUUUUCAACUGAGAUUAGAAUUUUGAAAUUACAUACACAAACACGCCCAAUUAAAAAGUAGUAAUUAUAAAAUAUUUCAGUACUCGUUUUACCAUCCAUUUGAACAUACACAAACACGCCCAAUUUGUAAAAAAAAAAAAAGUAGUAAUUAUAAAAUAUUUCAGUCGUCCACUGUUCAAUUAAAAAAAACUUCUUUUACUGGUCCAAAGCGCUAUUAAAGAUCGGCUUUAAAAUAAUUAAGCCGGAGCGAUUCCUCAGAUAACAACGCUACGUACCAUAUCAGACCUAAAACUUGACCAACCGCGAUCCAAUUUAUUUUAUCAAAGCAAUCAAUAAAGAAUUAUUUUUUGAAAACACUACCAUCCUUCGAUCUUAUUUCCUUCUUGUAUCAGAGCCAAGGAGAGGAUAGUGUAAUACAGUUUAGAGUUUUGUGUUUAAAGACUUGUGUUUUAUUUUGUUUUUGUUUGUGUGGUGAAUUCUUACUGGUAGUAAGUCCCGUCAUAGGAUAGGGAUUUCCGCUUAGGGCAGUAAAACCAUACCUGUAGCCAUACUGACCGAACCCUAGUAUUUCAUAGGUUUUUAUCCAUGGAUCCUCUGAUAUGUAGAACAUCGUCCUUUUCUAGCUCUUCUUCCGGGAAGACUAGUGAUUCAAAGCAUGUUGUGAGUUCAGAAGAAUUCAUUAUUGAGAACUUUGAUAAAGCAAUUGAUUGUUGGGAACUUCCAAAGAUUUCUAAAGAAAAGAUUUACAAAACAAAAAUGCUUGAUCUUUUAAAACAUGAUUAUAUUAUAAAGACUGAAGAACGUGACAUAACUCUUUCAGAGCCUUUUGAAACAAUUUAUUUGUUUUCGGAAAAAUCUUUAAAGAAAUUAAAAGAAAAGAAUUUCAAAUAUAUUCACAUUGGUCUAAUCCAAGUUGGAAUAAAGCCUUUAACAAAAGAGGGUCUUGAUACUUCUAUUCUAGCCGUCCUAAGAGAUGGGCGAUUCAUCUCUUUUGAUGAUUCAUUGCUAAGUAGCAUCGAAUCUAGUCUUUGUAAAGGUCCAAUUUCUUUUGAUUGCUAUCCAAAUAUAACAAUUUCUCUUAAAGACAAAAAUAUUUUAAAAAGCAUGAUUUUACAAGUUAAAACCCAUAAUUAUAAUAUGGUUAAAGGGUCUAUCCCAGUUGCUUUAAUUUUUAAAAUUUCAUACAAAGCUAUGGUCUCUGCGUUUAGUACGCAACACAAAUUCCAGUAAAAAAGAGAUGAAACUCUUCUCUUGCAAACUGACUUGUCUAAAGCAAAUACUGUCAUUCCAAAGCCAAUCCAAUGGAAAGAUGUCAAUCUUCUAGAGGAAUGGAUUCUUGAAGGAGCCGCCCCACCGGCGAUUCCGAAACAACUUGAGCCUAAUACAGAGUUGCAAAAUGUGACUCAGUAUUCUGAUGGUAAAGUGAAAUUAUCCUUCAGAAGAUCUACCUCAUCCAAAUUUUCUGAUAAAGAAUCGUGCUCAAGCAUUCCUUCAAUUGAAAGAAAAUUCUCAAAAAUUCCUUCUGUAAUAAACCUUCCCUUUCAAACAGUAAAGAGUCAACCUAGGUUCUCUACUUCAGAUAUACCUAGUUCCUCCAUACGAUCUGUUGACUAUACUACAAAUAUUCCUCAUCCAGUUUAUACUAGUAGUCAACAUGACCAAAAACAGGAAGAGAAGGAACCUUCUCCUCCAACCUCUCCAACGUUUUCUGCAAUCACAGAAAAUGUUAUUAAUGUCAUUACAAAAGAAUUUGAGUUAGAUAAAAAUCUACUUCAUAAUGAUUUUUAUUCGGAAAAUAAUAAAGAAAAAAGAAUUUGGUUUUUCAAACAUUUUUUAAACCAAAGAAAAGAAAUCCAACAAAUCUACUAUGAAUUUGUGAAUCUUCAUCAAGUUCAUAUAUUGUUUUUUGAUUGGUUCGAGAUAUAUUCUUCUGAGAACAACAUAAAUUACCCUUUUAAAGAGUCAAACCCUAUUACUGUUAGAAAGAAAAUUUCUGAAUGGAAACUUUCUGAUAAUAAUAGAACCAUAGAAUCUGAGCAUCCACCUCUUAGGAGCAUAAUUGUUGAUCACGGUGAACCUCCUGUUGAGAUUAAAGCCUCUCCUUACAAAAUUCCUAGACCAAAUGAUUCUGAUGCGAAUUUAAGUAGUAUUAUCCAACAGAAUAAUUUCUGUAAUACUAACUUAAAUACUAUCGGAAAGCAGUUGACUAGGAUAGAAAACCAAUUCCAAAAGUCAACCAUUACUGUUCCAUCCAUUUCUCCUGUUUCAUCAAAAUUGGAUUCCGACAAAAAGCUUAAGGAACCUAUUUUCAAACCUUUUCAAGUUUCGAAAACUAGCCAAAAGCUUGUCCAUGAGUCAAAAUCAGAUUUUGCUAAAGCCAUUAGAGAACAGCUAGAUAGGAUAAAAGCUGCUUCUUCCUCUUAUAGUAAAGUUCAAAUAGCCCCUGAUACUCCUCAAUCUAGCAAGAUUGGAGUAUUAGAACAAGACCAAUCCUCUAUAGCCUCUUCUGAUAUAGAUGCCUUCCAUGAAGAGCCAUCUAUUCCUAAAGCCAAUAAAAUCCAUUGGGAAUUAGCCGUUCCUACUGUCAAGACUCCACCAGAUCUAGCUAUAGAUAAUAGACCAAGUGCCUUAAAUCAAUCUAGAUUUAAUGCAUCUUCAGUCUAUGAGUGGAAUAUUGAUGGUAUGUCUGAGUACAACAUCUUAGGAUUGUUGCAACAAAUGACCAUGGCAGCUAAUACCUAUAAAACUCAAUCGGGAACUUCUGAUAGAGCCAUAGCAGAAAUUCUCAUUGCAGGUUUUACUGGUCAACUUAAAGGUUGGUGGGAUCAUCUCCUUACUAAUCAGCAACAAUUAGAUAUUCUAAACUCCAUUCAAAAAGAUCAAGAUGGUACCCCCAUCCUUGAUGAAUUCAAUAGUCCAAUUCAGGAUGCCGUGGCUACCCUGAUAUUAACUAUUUCCCUCCAUUUUAUAGGUGACCCUUCGCACCUUAGAGACAAAAAUGCUGAGUUACUACAUAAUUUGAGAUGUAGGAAACUUAGUGAAUUUCAAACUUACAAAACCACUUUCUUUACUCGACUCUUUCUUAGAGAUGAUGCAAAUCAUAUUACUUGGAAAGAGAAAUUCUUAGCAGGAUUACCUACUCUUUUAGGAGAAAAGGUUAGGAAUUCCAUCAAAACCCUUUAUGAUAACCGUAUACCAUAUGACGAGCUCACCUAUGGUGAACUAGUCAGUUUUGUCAAUAAAGAAGGUUUAAAGAUUUGUCAAGAUUUGAAGUUACAGAAACGGCUCAAACAGGAGCUUAGGCAAUCCAAGCAAGAACUAGGUGGUUUCUGUAAACAAUUCAAUUAUGACCCCUUUAAAACUUCUACCUCCAAAGAUUGUAAUGGAAAGUGUUCUUCCAGACCUUACAGAAAACAUUACAAAUCAAAAAGGUAUAGGAAACCCUUUCAAAAUUUUAGAGAUGAACCUUCUUAUAAGAAACCUUCGAAGCCUUAUAAGAAACCGAAAUUCUCUAAAAAGAAAGAGUUUAAAGCCAAACCAAGAACUCCUUUUAAUUACAAAGAAGCCAUAUGCCAUAAAUGUGGUAUAAAAGGCCAUACUGCAAAGUAUUGCAGAAUGCUUCACGAGCUUGGGCUUGAUGAAGAAACCCUCUCCAAAGUUGCCUCCCUAUUGAUAGAGUCUUCCGACUCUGAGUCUUCCAUGUCGGGAGAUAGUGACCCUCUCCAGGUCGAUGAGUUGGUUGAUUCAGAAACCUCUGCAUAUUCUGAAACAGAUUCUUUUUUAAAGAAAAUCAAUGUUUUAACUAAAGACCAAGAGAUUUUCCUUGAACUUGUAAAACAUAUUUCUGACCCUGUUCUUCAAAAGGAAUAUCUUGAUAAACUUUUGAAAACUUUAGACUCAAAUAAAACUGAAACCUCUAAAGUUCCAAUUGUUAAAAAGAAUUCUUAUGAUUUAACUGAGAUUUUGGAUAAAAAGAAAACAAAGAAAACAACUAUUCCUACCAUCCAAGAUCUUUAGAAAGAUAUUAAAGAUAUUAAACUUGAGAUUAAAGAAUUAAAAGAAAAACAAAAAACUGAUUCUGAAACUAUCCAACUUCUCUUACAAAAACAAUUAGAGGAUAAUUCUGAAAAAGAAGUUGAAUCUGAUGGUGAUAAUGAACAAAAUCUUGAAAACAUUGAAUCUAUACCUCAUGAUUUUCUGUUUAUUUUAAAACAAGUUACCACCAGAAAAUAUCUAAUCAAAGUCACUUUAAAAUUUUCUAAAAAUUUUGAAAUUGACACCAUUGCCCUCUUUGACACUGGUGCCGAUUUAAAUUGUAUUAAAGAAGACAUUGUUCCUAGAAAGUUCCAUGAAAGAACUAAAGAAAGGCUUUCUGCCGCCAAUAAUUCAAAAUUAAAUAUCAAAUUCAAAGUUGAUGCCUCAAUUUAUAACAAUGAUUUUGAAUUUAAAACUUCUUUCCUUUUGACAAAUGAUAUUCAUCAUACUGUCAUAUUCGGAACCCCUUUCAUAAAUCUUAUAACUCCGUAUACUGUCAAUUAUGAUGGUAUCUCUUUCAAAGCAAAAUCCCAAAAACUUACUUUCCCUUUUAUUGAAAAACCUAAAACAAGAAAUCUAAAUAUUGUCAAAGCAUGUUAUGUUUACCAAAAUUAGAUUAAUAAUCUUUUAAAAUCAAAAGAACACAAUUUAAUGUUUUUGCAAAAAGAUCUGAGUCUACAAAGAAUUGAAAGUCAAUUACAAAAUGAAUUUAUACAAAGAAAGAUCUCUGAUUUUAAAACCCUCAUUGAAAAAGAAAUAUGUGCCGAUUUACCAUAUGCUUUUUGGAACAGAAAACAACAUUUGGUAGAUUUGCCUUAUGAAAAUUCCUUUAAUGAAAAACAAGUACCUACUAAAGCCCGUCCUAUUCAAAUGAACAUGGAUUUAGAAAAACACUGUAAAGAAGAAAUUAAAGAUUUAUAAACAAAAUGUCUCAUUAUAAAAUCAAGAUCUCCAUGGUCUUGUGCCGCCUUUUAUGUUAAUAAAAACUCUGAAAUCGAAAGAGGAAUACCAAGACUUGUCAUAAAUUAUAAACCUCUAAACAAAGCUUUGAAAUGGAUUAGGUACCCUAUACCUAAUAAAAAAGAUUUGCUUCAAAAACUACAUUCUGCUUUCAUAUUUUCAAAAUUUGACAUGAAAUCUGGUUUUUGGCAAAUUCAAAUUCACCCUAAAGACCGUUACAAGACAGCUUUUACUGUUCCAUUCGGACAGUACGAGUGGACUGUUAUGCCUUUUGGUUUGAAAAAUGCUCCCUCAGAAUUUCAAAGAAUCAUGAAUGAUAUUUACAACCCUUAUUCUGAGUUUUGCAUUGUCUAUAUAGAUGAUGUAUUGAUUUUUUCUCAAACCAUCGACCAACACUUCAAACAUUUAAAAACUUUUUAUUAUGCCACUAGAAAGGCUGGAUUAGCCAUCUCUAGUUCUAAAGUCUCUUUAUUUCAAACAAGGAUAAGGUUCCUUGGCCAUAAUAUUUCUAAAGGUACCAUAACCCCUAUCGAAAGGUCUCUCGCCUUUGCUGACAAAUUUCCUGAUAAAAUCCUUGACAAAACCCAAUUGCAAAGAUUUUUAGGAAGUUUGAAUUAUGUUCUUGAUUUUUGUCCUAACAUUAAUAGGAUUUCUAAACCUCUGCAUGAUAGGUUAAAAAAGAAUCCUGUUGCAUGGACUGACGAGCAUACUAAAGUCAUUAGAAUCAUAAAAGUAUCUGUAAAAAAUAUCCCAUGUUUAUUUCUUGCAAAUCCUGCAUUACCUAAAAUAGUUGAGACUGAUGCAUCUGAUUUAGGUUAUGGAGGUAUAUUAAAGCAAAAAGAAAAUGAUAAAGAACAGAUAGUACAAUAUGUUUCUGCACAUUGGAAUGAAUGCCAGAAAAACUAUUCUACUAUUAAAAAAGAAAUUCUUUCAAUUGUUUUAUGCAUUUCAAAGUUUCAAGGUGAUUUAUUAAAUCAAAAUUUUUUACUUAGAAUUGAUUGCAAAGCUGCAAAAUAUGUUUUAGAAAAAGAUGUUCAAAACAUUGCAUCAAAACAGAUUUUUGCACGUUGGCAAGCUAUUUUAAGUGUUUUUUAUUUCGAUAUUGAGUUUAUUAAAGGUAAUACAAAUUCUAUUCCUGAUUUUCUAACCAGGGAAUUUCUUCAAAACAGAUAAUGCCGCCAAAAAGAAGAGACAAAGGAAAAUGCAUUGCCAAAGACCCUGAGCCUAAAGAACCUCAAUCCCCUCCUAAAGAAAAAUUACUUUCAUCCGCCAUGCCAAUCAAAUCCUGGAUCGACAUGAUUGAGGAUGAAGAAACAAAGUCCAAAGCUCUUUCUACCCAUGAACAAGUAAAUCAAUGGAUGAAAUCCAUUUCAAAAUCACCUGAGCUUAUGCUCGCCUUACAAAGCAGCCUCUCCCAAAGCCAAACUCUUUCAAAAGACAUCUCUACAAAAGAAAGUUCAAAAGAAAUUACAAAGUCCUCUUCUCAAAACAUUGUUGUUUCUAGUGAAAGUUCAUCCUCUCAGAUUGUUCUUUCCCAACCAACUUCUACAAAGAAAACUGCGGUUUGGUUUGAUAAAGUCAAUUCCCAAAACAUUUUAAUUAUUGAAGAUGGAUUUUACCAUUCCGAUCCAUUUCAAGCACUUGCAAAGUUUUUCCCUAAAGGCUGGUUUUUUAAAUCAUGGGAUUUAACAAAACCCCAGCCUUAUUAUCAAAGCAUUUUGGAAGCCACUGAGUCAGUCAAAUUCAAACAUUUUUACCUUAGUGACUCCCAUUCAGAGCCAGCCUAUUCAGCGGCUACAAUUUUAAAAGUCUUAAGUCCAAAAUAGUGAGGCGACUUACUCCACAAUCAAAAACGAUUUCCCUCUAAUUUUCAAAUGCGUUUACCGCACUGUUUAACCUUUUCAUACUGGACUAUCAACAGGCCUGGUAUAACACAUUUUUCAUCCAAAAUCCUAAAAAAUCCCAUUCAUGGUUAUUAUUCUUUAAUUCGAAAAUAACCGUUCAAAGCCUUCCAAAUUGGUUUAAACAAUGGUGGAACUUUUUCGGUCCAAUUCCUGAAAUUUUAACACCAAAUGCCACCCACUGUUUAAACUUAUUCAAAGCCCAUUAUACUCCUUCAGAGUCCGAGAGAAGGUUUCCCGCCUUUCUUUGUUUUUGUACAAAUUUCUUCCUCCCUUGGGUUUGGAUGUGGAACCUUAAUUACCAUACCCAAGACUCCCAAAUUGUUAUACAAAGAACCUUUAAAGUCAAAUGGUGGUCAAAAUUUGAUGAACAAUCAAAAUUGACCGACAACCAAAUCCGAGAUUGGCUUUCUGCCAAAGGUUUUCUUCAACCAACCCUUAAACAAACCAAAGCCCAACAAACAACUCUCCUGGCCAGCACCAAAACAGAAGAAGAAUAUUUCAAAGUUAUGCAACAACUUCUCGCCACACGAUCAGAGACUUCUGUUGCUAGUUCAUCUUCAAGCACCUCUGGAGAUGAAGAACCAUUCAUUUCCAUUGGAGAAGAAAAUGAAGACUACUGUUUCGGCAUUUUUUCUCCUUUAAAGCAUUAGGGCUCUGUAUAUAUAUAAAAAAAAAAAGAGCAAUUUUAAUUUUAUGUAAUUAUUCAUUGUUAAUCGGGUGGUCCCAUGGACACAAGUGAGAGCGCACAUGUCUCUUCACCCGUAUUUUGUAUUUCCUAUUUUGUAUUUUGUAUUUUGUAUAAAGCUACAGCUCUGCUACAGUACAGAGUUCCAAAGAUUACUGUGCACUCAAAACUCCGCUACAGUGAAUAGUGCAGAGUUCCAAAGAUUACUGUGCACUCAAAGCUCCGCUACAGUGAACAGUUUAAAAAUUUCUUUUGUAUAUAAACCGAGAGGAAGACUUAGACUCCUCAGGUUUUUCAUUUUUAGGUUUAGAACUUCUCUCUCUUCUUCUCCUCCUCCUCUCUAAAAACCCUUCUCUCUCUCUCUCCCUCUCCUUCUUCUUCUUCUUCUUCUUCUUCUUCUUCUUCUCUCGGGAUUAAAGAAAAUCUUCUGUAUUCAAGGAAUUUUCCCUAAGUUCCUUGUUUUCAGACUAUUUUCCGAUUUUCCAUUUAUAAAGCUGUCAGAUCAAAAGAAAUAAAUGUAAAGCAUUUAAAUUUAAAGCAAUUUCAAUUUCAUGAAUAUUUAAUUUCCGCAAUUUACUUUAAAGCAAUUUAAUUUCCACAAUUUACUUUAAAGCAAUUUAAUUUUCCAGUCAUUUAUUUUCAAAGCAUGCUCUGCAGACUGAUCUCUAUCAGAUCUGCCAUAAAAAUUGUACGUUCCUCCGAGACAUAGAAACCAGAUCUCUCCCCUCGAUUGUAUUUCUCUUCUCCCCCCUUUUCAUUUUUAGGUUUAGAACUUCUCUCUCUUCUUCUCCUCCUCCUCUCUAAAAACCCUUCUCUCUCUCUCUCCCUCUCCUUCUUCUUCUUCUUCUUCUUCUUCUUCUUCUUCUCUCGGGAUUAAAGAAAAUCUUCUGUAUUCAAGGAAUUUUCCCUAAGUUCCUUGUUUUCAGACUAUUUUCCGAUUUUCCAUUUAUAAAGCUGUCAGAUCAAAAGAAAUAAAUGUAAAGCAUUUAAAUUUAAAGCAAUUUCAAUUUCAUGAAUAUUUAAUUUCCGCAAUUUACUUUAAAGCAAUUUAAUUUCCACAAUUUACUUUAAAGCAAUUUAAUUUUCCAGUCAUUUAUUUUCAAAGCAUGCUCUGCAGACUGAUCUCUAUCAGAUCUGCCAUAAAAAUUGUACGUUCCUCCGAGACAUAGAAACCAGAUCUCUCCCCUCGAUUGUAUUUCUCUUCUCCCCCCUUCUUCAGAGCACCAUUUCCGGGAUCCGGAUCUGGUACUGUGUAUGCACCCAAGCCUAUAGAUGUAUGUUUGUGGCUAGGUUUGCUAAAAAGAAUUUAAUUUAUAUUUGGUAAAGAAUUUUAAAAUUUGAACAACCGCGUUUAAAGAAUCUAAUUAUUAUCUGGUAAAAGCAAAAAUUGAUUUGGUAUAUCAGCUGGACACUCGAGGAUGCGGGCUACUGAUCUAAAGCGCUAUUAAAGAUCGGCUUUAAAAUAAUUAAGCCGGAGCGAUUCCUUAGAUAACAACGCUACGUACCAUAUCAGACCUAAAACUUGACCAACCGCGAUCCAAUUUAUUUUAUCAAAGCAAUCAAUAAAGAAUUAUUUUUUGAAAACACUACCAUCCUUCGAUCCUAUUUCCUUCAAACCAAUUUCCAAUCUAUUUCAAAACAAUUUUUGCCAAAGUCCUCUCCUCCUCGGCUAAUUAAUUCAUAUAUUAAUACAGUCCUCCUCUGCUGAAUAAUGCAAACCCGUUACGUUAUUCUACCAUUUCUUAAAUUUAAAGCAUUCCACCAUUUAAUAAAAAAAUUCGAAAACCCAUUAUAUACAAUACAAAAAGCCCACCGACACCAAACCAUAUUAAUUUAAAAUAAUUUUCAAUUGAGAUUUGAAUUUUAAAAUUACAUACACAAACACACCCGAUUUAAAAAAAUAAUAAUAAUGCUAACAAUAAAAUAUUUCUGUCGUCCUCUGUUCAGUCACCAAAAACGAAUUUACCAGCUAUUAGAACAUAAGGUAUAUGGGUUAACAAGUCCCAAUAUUGUCCUCCAUCCUUUCUGCACUUCUCUUCUAUCAAUGGACAUCCCACGAUGUCUAAUUCCAAAAGUGAGGAAGGCAGGCCCUUCUUCGGAAAGUAUUUGAGCUUGGGACAUCCCCAGAGUUGCAAUAAAGUGAGGUUUUGAAGAUCAACAAUUGAAGAAGAUAGGCGUUCAAGAUUUGGAAAUCUAGAAAUCCCCAGAGAUGUUAGAGAGGCAAGAAGAGGAAGCGCGGUCCCUAAUCUUUUGUUCUCUAGUGGAAAUGACACCAUGUCGUCAUCGCAUCUGCUGAUUGUAAGACGUCGCAGAGAGGAGAAUCUAUGAAAUCCCCGGCCCCGCUCAAUCAUUGACUUCCAAAUCUCCAUAUUACCCUCAAUAUUCAGUAACUGAAGGUUGGUGGGAAGGCCAUCUUCUUCAAGGCUUGGAAGCGCACCUCCUAUUGUUAAGUGUUGAAGAGAGGUCAGAUUGUGCAAUCCCUUGGGUAAGGCCUCUAGUCUCUUACAAUUAGAUAUCGCCAGCGUCCUGAGUUUCGCACAAGGCAAUCCCCCUUCGGGAAAGGACACCAGAUUUUCACAAAUCUGUAUACUAAUCUCUUGAAGCUGGCGGAGAUUAUGUAAACCACUCGGUAAAAUUUUCAGAGUUCCACACCUCUUUAUACUGAUUUUUUCAAGAGAUGUGUUGUUGUCCAACCUUUCUGCUAUUGACUCCACCUUUGAACAUCCAUAAACAUAAAGGGACUUAAGAGACGGAGGCAGAUUGCCAACUUCAAGGGACUCAAGCGUGGCAGGUAACUCGUUUUUUGAAAAUAUACAUGUCAGUGAUGGACAAUCCCAAAUUUCCAACUCCUCGAGAAGAGAUGAGGUGUACCUUCUGCCGCUGCUACACUGGAUGCCCUCUUCCGCUGUCAAAGUCCUUAUAUUAUCGCAACGGCGGAUC